UGGGGAAUUUUGGACAAUGGGCGCAAGCCUGAUCCAGCAAUGCCGCGUGCAGGAUGAAGGCCUUCGGGUUGUAAACUGCUUUUGUACGGAGCGAAAAGGUCUGCCCUAAUACGGUGGGCUCAUGACGGUACCGUGAGAAUAAGCACCGGCUAACUACGUGCCAGCAGCCGCGGUAAUACGUAGGGUGCGAGCGUUAAUCGGAAUUACUGGGCGUAAAGCGUGCGCAGGCGGUUGUGUAAGACAGGUGUGAAAUUCCCGGGCUUAACCUGGGAACUGCGCUUGUGACUGCACGGCUAGAGUACGGUAGAGGGGGAUGGAAUUCCGCGUGUAGCAGUGAAAUGCGUAGAUAUGCGGAGGAACACCGAUGGCGAAGGCAAUCCCCUGGACCUGUACUGACGCUCAUGCACGAAAGCGUGGGGAGCAAACA
rnacentral:rRNA from 1 species